CCUACGGGAGGCAGCAGUGAGGAAUAUUGGUCAAUGGACGAGAGUCUGAACCAGCCAAGUAGCGUGAAGGAUGACUGCCCUAUGGGUUGUAAACUUCUUUUAUAUGGGAAUAAAAUGUUCCACGUGUGGGAUUUUGUAUGUACUAUAUGAAUAAGGAUCGGCUAACUCCGUGCCAGCAGCCGCGGUAAUACGGAGGAUCCGAGCGUUAUCCGGAUUUAUUGGGGUUAAAGGGAGCGUAGGUGGAUUGUUAAGUCAGUUGUGAAAGUUUGCGGCUCAACCGUAAAAUUGCAGUUGAAACUGGCAGUCUUGAGUACAGUAGAGGUGGGCGGAAUUCGGGGUGUAGCGGUGAAAUGCUUAGAUAUCACGAAGAACUCCGAUUGCGAAGGCAGCUCACUGGACUGCAACUGACACUGAGGCUCGAAAGUGUGGGGAUCAAACAGGAUUAGAUACCCUGGUAGUC
rnacentral:rRNA from 1 species